rnacentral:rRNA from 1 species
GUGGGGAAUCUUGCGCAAUGGGCGAAAGCCUGACGCAGCCAUGCCGCGUGGAUGAUGACGGUCUUAGGAUUGUAAAAUCCUUUCACCGGUGAAGAUAAUGACUGUAGCCGGAGAAGAAGCCCCGGCUAACUUCGUGCCAGCAGCCGCGGUAAUACGAAGGGGGCUAGCGUUGCUCGGAUUUACUGGGCGUAAAGGGCGCGUAGGCGGACAUUUAAGUCAGGGGUGAAAUCCCGGGGCUCAACCUCGGAACUGCCUUUGAUACUGGGUGUCUUGAGUAUGAGAGAGGUGUGUGGAACUCCGAGUGUAGAGGUGAAAUUCGUAGAUAUUCGGAAGAACACCAGUGGCGAAGGCGACACACUGGCUCAUUACUGACGCUGAGGCGCGAAAGCGUGGGGAGCAAACAGGAUUAGAAACCCGUGUAGUCC